rnacentral:rRNA from 1 species
AUUGAACGCUGGCGGCAGGCCUAACACAUGCAAGUCGAGCGAGCGGCGGACGGGUGAGUAAUGUAUGGGGACUGCCCGAUAGAGGGGGAUAACUACUGGAAACGGUGGCUAAUACCGCAUACUAUCGGAUAACACAUAUGGGAUUAGCUAGUAGGUGGGGGAAAGGCGCACCUAGGCGACGAUCUCUAGCUGGUCUGAGAGGAUGAUCAGCCAAACUUGCACUGGGACACGCCCCCGCCUCCUUCGGAGGCAGCAGUGGGGAAUAUUGCACAGUGGGCGCAAUCCUGAUGCAGCCAUGCCGCGUGUAUGAAGAAGGCCUUAGGGUUGUAAAGUACUUUCAGCGGGGAGGCGUUACCCGCAGAAGAAGCACCGGCUAACUCCGUUCCAGCAGCCGCAGUAAUAC